UAUAUCAAAGCAGUCAACCACAAACACAUACACCUGUGCCCUCAGAAGAGGCACAUGGAGCUAAGUGAUGACCCUACGCCAUGCAGAUACCUGGGAACGUGGCAUGAUUUCAGUAUCCAUGCUGCAGGAUCAUACACCAGGGAAUGCAUACGAUCCAAGAAGACAUUCUCUUCAGUAGCAAAUUCAUCAUGGUCAGAGUGCCAAUAUUUCCUAGGUUCUUUUAGGAUUGUCCGUAGUUGAUUGCAAAUUUGAGAAUAUGGAAUGAAGAUAAUAUGUACCGUACACAACUUAUGGGAAAUGUAAACCCACAACAUGGUACAUUUGCUGUGAAGUCGGUCUGGAUCACUUUCAAGGACUCAGAGAAUAUAUCCCACAGAACAAGACCGAAAAAAAAUGGUGAUUCUCCAAAGGCCACCAGUGAAGCAGUGAUGGAAGUUUGUAG